rnacentral:rRNA from 1 species
AAGUACCGCGAGGGAAAGGUGAAAAGAACCCCGUAAGGGGAGUGAAAUAGAACAUGAAACUGUAAGCUUACAAGCAGUAGGAGGACGACUUAACGUCUGACUGCGUGCCUGUUGAAGAAUGAGCCGGCGACUUAUAAGUAAUGGCAGGUUAAUUUUAGGAGCCAUAGCGAAAGCGAGUCUGAAUAGGGCGUUUGUCGUUGCUUAUAGACCCGAACCCGGAUGAUCUAACCAUGG